rnacentral:rRNA from 1 species
CACGUAGGGACCAAGCGUUGUCCGGAUUCAUUGGGCGUAAAGAGCUCGUAGGCGGUUCGAUAAGUCGGGUGUGAAACCUCCAGGCUCAACCUGGAGACGCCACCCGAUACUGUCGUGACUAGAGUCCAGUAGGGGAGCGUGGAAUUCCUGGUGUAGCGGUGAAAUGCGCAGAUAUCAGGAAGAACACCCGUGGCGAAGGCGGCUCUCUGGUACGUGACUGACGCUGAGACGCGAAAGCGUGGGGAGCAAACAGG